rnacentral:pre_miRNA from 1 species
AUCUUCCUGAUUUUGUGCAGAGAUUUAGUCACAUACUAACACAUUAGGACUGAUUAGACUCCGAAGAUAAGUGAAGUU